ensembl:miRNA
GAAAGAGUUUGGGAUGGAGAAAGGAGAAACUUGAGGUCUCUGGGAGUUGCUUGAACCAAUUGACCGUAACCUGGCCAGAGAAUUCUGAUAGUAUCUUCUCUCCUUCUCCCAAACAG